rnacentral:rRNA from 1 species
GAUGAACGCUGGCGGCGUGCCUAAUACAUGCAAGUCGAGCGAACAGACGAGGAGCUUGCUCCUCUGACGUUAGCGGCGGACGGGUGAGUAACACGUGGAUAACCUACCUAUAAGACUGGGAUAACUUCGGGAAACCGGAGCUAAUACCGGAUAAUAUAUUGAACCGCAUGGUUCAAUAGUGAAAGACGGUUUUGCUGUCACUUAUAGAUGGAUCCGCGCCGCAUUAGCUAGUUGGUAAGGUAACGGCUUACCAAGGCAACGAUGCGUAGCCGACCUGAGAGGGUGAUAGGCCACACUGGAACUGAGACACGGUCCAGACUCAUACGGGAGGCAGCAGUAGGGAAUCUUCCGCAAUGGGCGAAAGCCUGACGGAGCAACGCCGCGUGAGUGAUGAAGGUCUUCGGAUCGUAAAACUCUGUUAUUAGGGAAGAACAAAUGUGUAAGUAACUAUGCACGUCUUGACGGUACCUAAUCAGAAAGCCACGGCUAACUACGUG